UACGAAGGGGGCUAGCGUUGCUCGGAAUCACUGGGCGUAAAGCGCACGUUAGGCGGAUUGCUAAGUCAGGGGUGAAAUCCUGGAGCUCAACUCCAGAACUGCCUUUGAUACUGGCGAUCUUGGAGUCCGGGAGAGGUGAGUGGAACUCCGAGUGUAGAGGUGAAAUUCGUAGAUAUUCGGAAGAACACCAGUGGCGAAGGCGGCUCACUGGCCCGGUACUGACGCUGAGG
rnacentral:rRNA from 1 species